UACGUAGGAGGCAAGCGUUGUCCGGAAUCACUGGGCGUAAAGCGCGCGCAGGCGGCGAUCUACGUCUGGGGUGAAAGCCCGGAGCUCAACUCCGGGACUGCCUUGGAUACGGGAUCGCUUGAGGAUUGGAGAGGCAAGGGGAAUUCCACGUGUAGCGGUGAAAUGCGUAGAUAUGUGGAGGAACACCUGUGGCGAAGGCGCCUUGCUGGCCAAUUUCUGACGCUGAGGUGCGAAAGCGUGGGGAGCAAACAGG
rnacentral:rRNA from 1 species